UGGGGAAUAUUGGACAAUGGGCGAAAGCCUGAUCCAGCCAUGCCGCGUGUGUGAAGAAGGUCUUCGGAUUGUAAAGCACUUUAAGUUGGGAGGAAGGGCAGUAAGCGAAUACCUUGCUGUUUUGACGUUACCGACAGAAUAAGCACCGGCUAACUCUGUGCCAGCAGCCGCGGUAAUACAGCGGGUGCAAGCGUUAAUCGGAAUUACUGGGCGUAAAGCGCGCGUAGGUGGUUCGUUAAGUUGAAUGUGAAAGCCCCGGGCUCAACCUUGGAACUGCAUCCAAUACUGGCGAGCUAGAGUAGGACAGAGGGUGGUGGAAUUUCCUGUGUAGCGGUGAAAUGCGUAGAUAUAGGAAAGAACACCAGUGGCGAAGGCGACCACCUUGGCUCAUACUGACACUGUGGUGCGAAAGCGUGGGGAGCAAACAGG
rnacentral:rRNA from 1 species